rnacentral:tRNA from 1 species
AAGAUUUUAAGAUAACUUAAUCUAUUAACCUUCAAAGUUAAAAAAAUAAUUUAAUUUAUAAAUCUUA